rnacentral:lncRNA from 1 species
GGGGCGCACACGCGUGUGUUCGUGAGUGUGUGAGUGUGCAACGCGCGUGUGUUCACGUCUGACCCCUGCACACGCGUGUGUUCGUUUGUGUGAGUGUGCAACGCGCGUGUGCUCACAUGUGACCCCUGCACACGCGUGUGUUCGUGUGUGCGUGCAACGUGUGUGUGCUCACUUUAAUUCGUGUGUGAAUGUGCAGUGUGUUCACGCGCGUGACCCCUGCACACGCGUGUGUGAGUGUGUGACGCGUCACACGCACGUGACCCCCGCACGCACGUGUUUUCGUGCGUUCACACGUGACCCUGUGCGCACACACGCGUGUGUUCAGUCGGGUGUGAGUGUGCAAUGUGUUCACGUCUGACCCCCGCACACGCGUGUUUGUGUGAGUGUGCAAUGUGUUCACGUCUGACCCCCGCACAUGCGUGUUUGUGUGAGUGUGCAAUGUGUUCACGUCUGACCCCCGCACACGCGUGUUUUCGUGCGUUCACACGUGACCCUCUGUGCACACACGCGUGUCUGUGCCCGUGUCCGUGUGCACGCGCGGGGGUGAGUGUGCAAGGGGGAGCCCAGCGCGUGUGCGAGGCCCGGAAGGGGUCGAACGUGUGUGUGUCAAUGCGAGUGUGCACUCACAC